CCAGGACGCCAGUUUUGGCGGAGCCAUCCUUGGGAUACCACCCUUGUAGUACUGGGACUCUACCCAUAGGCCAUGAAUCUGGUCUUGGGACACUGUCAGGUGGGCAGUUUGCCUGGGGCGGUCGCCUCCCAAAAGGUAACGGAGGCGCUCAAAGGUUCUCUCAGUACGGUCGGAAAUCGUACGUAGAGUGUAAAGGCAAAAGAGAGCUUGAUUGCAAGACAUACAGG
rnacentral:rRNA from 1 species